ACUGCCAAAAUCUAUAAAGAAGACAACAGUAAAAAGAUAAAACAAAAAGACAUUAUUUUUUGCCAGUCAGACUUUGUUAUGCAGUUUAUUACAACUAUCAUGGAUUUUGCUAACAUUUGUUUAUAUGUAUUUUGCCUGCAGAUUUUUACACCUCCCUUUUUCCUUACUGAAGAGAAGGAGAAAUUUCAGAAACUCUGAUCUUUGAAGUGGUAAAGGUUAAAAUAAAUAAAUCACUACUUCAUUCUUUUAUGCAGGUCAGGGCCUGAAACAGUGACUGAGUUCCUGGUGAAGGGGCGUAGCUAGCCCUGAGAGAACAGAUGGAAGCAAUUCAGCUGUGCAACCUCCCUAACCUCACGUAAGGGCUGGCAGCCAAAAGGGAUGCUUCUCUACUUGGAGAUUGCCUCUUUUGGAGUGUUUGGUGAGCCCUGAUCCUUGGAAAGAGAUGUGGCAGAAUGGCUUUUCAGAGAAGUCUUCAGACCCCAAAAAUAAAAGGGGAGUGAAGAAGCAUGCAAAACAUAAUGAAAUUAAAGUAACAACUGAAGAAGUUACUGAGCAGAAGAAAAAUGGAAUUUGUGACUACAAUAGACAGAAAAGGUAGAAGAAUAAUGAUCCCCUUAAAUUCACUUUGAUAUCAUUAUUGUUGCAAAUUAAGAUUGAAUUCAUUCUUGCUGGCACACUACUGGAGCUCUACUGUGUAUGUAGCUUUCUUACUGAGAGAACCUUUUUUAUAGUUUUAAGAACUUCAUUCAUUCUCAUAAGAGCAUGUAACAGUAUAGUCUAGGAAAGCUUAACAUUAAAUGUCUUCUUCAGUACAUGGGAAAAAAGGACAGCAUUUGGCCCUAAUUAAAUACAUGAAAAGAACAUGUUUAUAUCUUGAGUCAUUAAAAAACAAGGAAACAAACAAACAAAAAAACAAACAGCAGAAUUUCAUAGUCUGAUGUCAUGGCCUAAUGGCAACUGGUUGUUAUAGACUGGGCUCUGUCUUACAGUAAGUUAAUAAUAAGUUUUCUGUUAAUGGAAAGUUUACCACCUUCCAUUUUCUUUUCAGGUGAAAAAACAGAAAACAAAAACAAAAAUGUAUCUCAUCAGAUGCCUUUGUGUGUAAUAAUCUUUCUGAAUGCCUAUUUCAUUAUUUAAGUAUUAGAGACGUUAUUUGUGCUUUUAGAGUAUUUUUGAUCAGUGUUUAUGCCAAAUACCAAAACUUGAGUACAGGUUUAUGUUUAUGCAUGUACACCAGAUAGGUAAGUUUCUAAAUAUGUGACUUUCCUAUAAAAAAAAUAUGGUUUCCCAGACACAUAUGGUGUUCUUUUCUUUUGGAAAAUAACUAAUUACAAACCAAGGAUCUGGGAAUUAAAAUUUUGGCAGGAAUUUGAAUAGCAAAUAUGAUUAUUUUUUUUCUCAUGUGCUACCACGUAUGUGUCCUACAAGUGUAUUUCCUGAAUCAUGUGUAAAAGUUUUAAGUGCUUACUGUUGUCUCGCUUAUUUCUUGUCCCAGAACUAUGUGAUACAUAAGUGAAAAUAAAGUCAACAUUAGGAAGAGGUAAUCUUAGUGACAGAUUCCGCUUUCUGAUGUACUGAUAUGGUUACCCACUGUUAUGUGAGUCAUCUAUUUGCCUCUGAAGGGAUUUUACUUCUACCAAGCAAUUUCAUCUAGUGUUAUGAGGGUGGAACAUUUCUAAUAUUUCAGGCUUUUCCAAGAAAACUCUAAUUGAACUCAUAAGAAAAAGACUUGGAAGGAACAGAGAUGAGCACAAAGCUGCUAGACGUAGCCAGGGUUAAUGAAUGAGUUAGAAGUAAACCUGAUAAAUAAGGGGGUGCAAAAACACUUCUGUAAGUAAAGUUCCAAAACUGUAAACUAAUGGUUGACAGUGUGACAGUGACAAAUGGGAAAAGAAGAAAUAUGAGAACAUAAAUAAAUAAAUAAGAUUUGAUGAACUAACUGCCUGAUUCGUAUUUGCUGCACCAGUAGGAUGAAGGUCUUUUUAGCAGAAAGUCUGGAAAAAAGAAUAAUCAAUUGAUCGUGAUGAAUUCAUGAAAAUUGAUUGUUUGGCUUGACUGAAUGGAGAUCUGAAAUCUGUAACUACUUCAGAGGAAGUCAGCAAAAUCUGUGAAGCACAUUUUACAGAAUAACUUUCUGAUGAAUUUCCCACCAGAUUUUUCAGGGCCUCCCAUACAAAUCUGUAAUCAACAGACAAAAGGUUUUCACAAAUUUGGAUCAACCAUGUGUGUCUUUUUGCUAUAUAUGUCUAUACUGUAUACACCUUAAGUAUAUAUUUUUCGACAUAUAGUUAAUGUAAAAUUUAAUGUUAGAAUCUGAGAUACUGCUAAAUCUGGAGUCUUGGUGAAUUUUCACAACAAAUAAUAAUUCCCUUCUUAACUUUUUUGUCAAUCCACAAAAAUAGAUUGUGUUCGUAUUGGUAGAAGUUCAAAGGCUGUUGAUACAGCACACACAUACAUGGUAUUCUCUUUAUUCUUUUCAUCUGCACUGCAUCCUCCCCUUGUCCUGGCUUCAGCUUAGACAGUGCUAAUAUCACACGAAAGUUCUGGUUAUUGCUGAUAGAUGGGUGUGUGUGUUAGGCUGAUCUUGUCCACUCAGCGGGGAAGAGCUGCUCCUAUGGUGGUGCAGAAACAGGGGACCUUGGGCAUGGAUUGGACAUGACCUGGCAUUUUGGCAUCAUGCUCAGCAAUACUGAGCAGAAUUGUCUGGGGGGCUGUCAUUGUUUAAGGACUGUCUGGGCAACAGUCAGCUGGUGGUGAGUAAUUGCAUUUUCAUUGCUUAUAUUUGUUAACUUUGAGGUUUGUUUUUGUUUGUUUGUUCUUAUUUUCAUUAAUCAUUGA